rnacentral:lncRNA from 1 species
UAGUCCCAGCCUCCCAGGAGAGCUAGGCAGGAGAAUGGUGUGAACCCCAGGAGGAAUUGGAGCUGAGAUCAAGGGCCUGCAUCAGCCUGAAGACAGGCAAGAAUCCGUCUCAAAAAAAAAAAAAAAAAAAAAUUCAAACUGCUUUCUGUGGUUUUCUGUGUGAAAAUCAUUGUAAUCCAAGUGAUCUUGUCCCCUAUGUUGUUAGCUGCUGUGAUGUCAUGUAUUAUACUUCAGAAGAAUAUUCUCUUAUUUUAUGUUUUUUACAUAGUUGAUCAAAAUAUCACAGACCAAUUUUUUUUUUUUUUUUUGAGACGGGAUCUUGCUCUACCUCGCCCAGGUUGGAGUGCAGUGGUGUGAUCAUGGCUCAUGGCAGCCUCAACCCCCCUGGCUCAAGCCAUCCUCCUGCCUCAGCCACCCGGGUAGGUGGGACUACUGGUGUGUGGGCCACCAUGCCCAUUGUAGAGGCGAUGUUUUGCCACAUUGCCCAGGCUGGCCUCCCACUCCUGGGCUCAAGUGAUCCACCUGCCUUGGCCUCCCAAAGUGCUGGGAUGACUCACACCUGUAAUCCCAGCACUUUGGGAGAUCAAGGCAGGUGGAUCACUUGAGGUCAGGAGUUCCAGACCAGCCUGGCCAACAUGGCGAAACACCGUUUCUACUAAAAACACACCUGUGGCUGCGUGCGGUGGCUCACGCCUGUAAUCCCAGCACUUUGGAUGCCGAGGCAGGUGGAUCUCCUAAGGUCAGGAGUUCGAGACCAGCCUGGCCAACAUGGUGAAACCUCGUCUCUCCUAAAAAUACAAAAAUUAGCCAGGUAUGGUGGCGGGUGCCUGUAAUCCCAGCUACUCGGGAGGCUGAGACAGAAGAAUCGCUUGAACCCAGGAGGCAGAGGUUGGAGUGAGCAGAAAUCAUGCCACUGCACUCCGGCCUGGGCUACAGAGUGAGACUCUGUCUCAAAAAACAAAAACAACAAAACAACAACAAGAAAAACCACACCUGUGCUGGGUGUGGUGGCUCACACCUGUAUUCCCAAUACUUUGAGAGGCCGAGGUGGGUGGAUCACCUAACGUCAGGAGUUUGAGACCAGUCUGGCCAACAUGGGGAAACCCCGUCUCUACUAAAAAUAAAAAAAUUAGCCAGGCAUUGUGGUAGGUUCCUGUAAUCCCAGCUACUCAGGAGGAUGAGGCAGGAGCAUUGCUUGAACCUGGGAGGCUGAGGUUGCAGUGAGUCAAGAUCAUGCCAUUGCAGUCCAGUAACAAGAAUGAAACUCUGUCUCAAAACAAACAAACAAACAAACAAACAAAGUGAAUCUGUAAUCCCACCAUUCUGAGAGGCCAAGGCAGGAGGAUUGCUUCAGGCCAGGAAUUCAAGACUAGCCUGGACAACAUAGUGAGACCCUGUCUUUAUUAAAAAUUUCAAAAUUAGCCAGGCAUUGUGGUAUGUGCUUGUAGUUCCAGCUACUCAAGAGGCUGAGGUGGGAGGAUCACUUGAGCCCAGGAGUUGGAGGCCGCAUUGAGCUGUGAUUGUGCCACCGCACUCUACUCUGGGUGACAGAGCUGACCCUGUAUCAAAAAAAAAAGAGUGCCUUAAAGAUCACCAAUGUGUCUUACAAACAUUAUUUUACAGUGAAAAAAGCAGGCAAUGGCCGGGAGCAGUGGCUCACGCCCGUAAUCCUAACACUUUGGGAGGCCAAGGCAGGUGGAUCUCCUGAGGUCAGGAGUUUGAGACCAACCUGGCCAAGAUGACAAAACCCUGUCUCUACUAAAAAUACAAAAAUUAGCCGGGCAUGGUGGCGCAUGCCUGUAGUCCCAGCUACUCAGAAGGCUGAGGCAGGAGAAUGGCGUGAACCUGGGAGUUGGAGGUUGCAGUGAGCUGAGAUUGCACCAUUGCACUCCAGCCUGGGCAACAGAGCCUUUCAAACUCUGUAUCAAAAAAAGAAAAAGAAGCAGGCAAUGGACUUACUGCCGUGGGUUUCAAUCAUCUCAUCACACACCCCAUUAUCCAGAAGUGAUAGAACAGUGACAUGGCACGGGCUUCCAAAGACAGUUAUAACACACUCAGAGACUGGUGCGCUAGGUGGUAGGAUGUAAAAUACGCUCUGAAUCAGCAACCAACACAUGGUUUGACCUCUCCCAUAGCCAGAAUACACAGAGCUAAGAGGCAGGAGGUGGAAGUGGGUAAAGUUAUACUGAAUGAUCCAUUCGAGUUUUUUGCUUCCUGUCUUCAUGAAUCUGUUCUCGGCUGGUUUCGAGACUUCAGUACCCAAGGGGGAAGUGCUUGCACAAGGAGACAUGGUGAAAGGGAAGUGAAUAGAGACACCUGGUAUUUUGUCUCCUUGUUCCAUCGGGCAAACAGAAAGAGGGGAGCUGAAGCGUUGGCUGGGGUCAUUAACUGAUCCCAAUUACCGAAAGUUCUGAAAGGCAAUAUGGGCAGGGAGGCGCAUGGCUUCUGGGAGCUCCUCCUGGAAGAGGGUUGCACAUGGGUACCGGGAAAUGAAAGGGUGGGCUAGAGCAGACUGGGGCCAUUGCUUUGGUUGCGCUCUCCCCAACCCCUCAUGCUAUUUGUGAGUCUUCCUCAGUGAGGACACCCAGGUGUCGGGAAGGGGUGGGUGCGUCUUCCUCCACAAAAGACUGAACCAGCAUUCCCUCUUCCCCCGGGGAGUAUGCGCAUGGACAAAUAGCCCAGUUUACCCACUGGAAACUCCUCCCAAGCCUUCAAAUCUGGAGGGAGGCCCACAAAGGUAGAGAUGAUUAAAGCUGAUACACAGAAACACAGGCAAGUGUCCCUAGAGGCAAUACCCACAGGGGCUUAUCGGCCAGGCUGUUCCUGACACUGGUCCUGGCUGGUGUCCUGUGUGCCUGGACAGCCUUGGUGUUUGGCCUGUUGUCCAAGCCCGGUUCUGUCCAAGCCUGGUUCUUCAGGCUUCCUGGAAAUCACCUUUUGGUCCAUUCCUUCUCUGCUCAAGUUACCCACAGUUGAUGGUAUUGCUUUCAGCCAACAGCUCUGACUGGCACCACGGGGAAGGAUGCACAAAUGCCAGUUCUCCUUCUGCUGUUACGAUCCAGACCACGCAUGACUUUCCCUCCUUUCCGAAGCACUGCAUGUUUUGAUUACUUAAGAGCUAGAAUAAAUUCUGUAAAAAUAACGGUGAGGGUAGAGAAGAAGCAAAACUUGAAGACAUGAAAAGAAAAUCUUUUUAGUAAUAAGCAACCCAAAGUUAGCCAACACGUGUCUCCAUUGCA